rnacentral:rRNA from 1 species
GAAUGAACCGGCGAGUUACGAUUUGAUGCAAGGUUAAGCAGUAAAUGUGGAGCCGUAGCGAAAGCGAGUCUGAAUAGGGCGUUUAGUAUUUGGUCGUAGACCCGAAACCAGGUGAUCUACCCUUGGUCAGGUUGAAGUUCAGGUAACACUGAAUGGAGGACCGAACCGACUUACGUUGAAAAGUGAGCGGAUGAACUGAGGGUAGCGGAGAAAUUCCAAUCGAACCUGGAGAUAGCUGGUUCUCUCCGAAAUAGCUUUAGGGCUAGCCUCAAGUGAUGAUUAUUGGAGGUAGAGCACUGUUUGGACGAGGGGCCCCUCUCGGGUUACCGAAUUCAGACAAACUCCGAAUGCCAAUUAAUUUAACUUGGGAGUCAGAACAUGGGUGAUAAGGUCCGUGUUCGAAAGGGAAACAGCCCAGACCACCAGCUAAGGUCCCAAAAUAUAUGUUAAGUGGAAAAGGAUGUGGCGUUGCCCAGACAACUAGGAUGUUGGCUUAGAAGCAGCCAUCAUUUAAAGAGUGCGUAAUAGCUCACUAGUCGAGUGACACUGCGCCGAAAAUGUACCGGGGCUAAACAUAUUACCGAAGCUGUGGAUUGUCCUUUGGACAAUGGUAGGAGAGCGUUCUAAGGGCGUUGAAGCAUGAUCGUAAGGACAUGUGGAGCGCUUAGAAGUGAGAAUGCCGGUGUGAGUAGCGAAAGACGGGUGAGAAUCCCGUCCACCGAUUGACUAAGGUUUCCAGAGGAAGGCUCGUCCGCUCUGGGUUAGUCGGGUCCUAAGCUGAGGCCGACAGGCGUAGGCGAUGGAUAACAGGUUGAUAUUCCUGUACCACCUAUAAUCGUUUUAAUCGAUGGGGGGAC